CCAGAGAAGAAAGUUCAUGAUUCCUCACAAAUGAGACUCGUCCUUGGAGCUUUCUGAAGCCGCAGUGACAGAGCCAAGGGAUUCACAGCAUUCAUUACUCACAUUACCGGAAGCUAAAUGUGCUAUCUUAUUGAGUCAGCUGGGAAAAGAGGAACACCCUGUGACACACAGGCUACCACUGGGACAAGAACGCCUGCACAGCAGAGUCCACAGCCACAGAGCCUGGGGCUGCUCCCUCAGGGACAAGGCAUGUGACACCAAGACCAGCCUACCUAGACUUCUGAGAGAAGGAUGGCUGAAGAGGAUAAAAACGUUGCUGAUGUAUGAGGAUCCAGGGACAGAACACAAUGGAUCCAGGAUUCACUACCCACUGGACCAUCUGACUACCUUGUUCCUUUCUUUGAGGAAGCUGAUGAAACUGUGUCACUAGGCCAUCUGCAGCUACACAGAGCCCCAAAUUGACCUAAGAAGAGAGAGACGACAGGCUGAAGAGCUUUCGCCUAACACUUGUGUCAAGAGGCAAGCAUCGCAAGGUGAAUCCACUACUGAAUGAAGUGUUGUGUGUGGCAGGCAUGUCCUCACAGAGAAAGCAGAGUCAGUGCCAAACCUGGACUGAGCAAGAGAUGCUGAUCACAGAGCCUCUAGUGGAGACCUCUGGUGGUGUGCAGCAGGAAACCGCACAGGUGUGCUGUGAAGAACACUACAGGAAGGUGAUCUCUAGGAAGCAGGUGUCAUGUCCCCUUUGGUUUGAGAAUCUACAUUGAAGAUGAAGUCAAGGAAAAUACACCCAGCAAAAGUAACAAAGAUGACAAUUUCAUAUAACAUUACAGGGAUACUUCAUGGAUCUGUACAACAGAAAUUUGGUUGGUCCCUAAGAAGCUCAUACAUUUGGGAAAACACCGGAAGUGACUUUGUCUGCUCUCCACUUUUCUCUGAAUACUGGCUUAUCAUUCUUCUUCUUACUUUGUAUAUUUUACUUUGUUGACUGACAUGGUAGAAGAUGGCUGCCAACAGCUCCAAAUUUUAUAUGUUCCAGGCAUGGAGAGUCUUGCUUUUCUUUGCUCUCAGAAGGCAAAGUCUGUCUGGUCCAAUAGGGGCCAAGGGGAUAGAGCUUAAUCAUAACGGUGGACUACUAGAGGAAAUGUGAUCACCUAACGUAAACCUGGCCUCGUCAUGGAAAUUCCGACUGCACACAUUUCAACCUUUUUCUACGGUGCCCUCUCCCUGAUGCCACAUGCUUUGUCUCCCUUUGACAUUCAUGUUCUACAUAAAAGGUCAUCAACUCCAGAGUUCUAUGAAACUUGGUUCAGUGCAUUUACUGGCUCUUGGAACCAGUUGAAAAUGUGGUUAUUAAUAUUCAAAGAAAUAUAGUUUGGGGAAUGGAAAAUUGCAUUUAAACUCCAGGUUUUCAGCAACAAAAUAUUGAUUUUGUAUUCUACUUUGCAUUUCAAAAAUCUAUUGAUAUGAAACCGUUUGAAAGAAGCCUAGAGUGAUACAAUAGUUAUUUCUUUAAGAAUAGAAUUCACUGAUGAAGCUCUCUUAACUGUAGUAACACUUCUCUAGUUAUAUUUUCUAAAAGUGUCUAAAAGUGACUUGGGGAGUACAGGGGAAUUCCUUUGUAUCAGUGGAACACCUCUGUGUCUUGCAGUGGUUUAGUGAAUAUCUACAGGCAAUAACACUGUGCAGAAUGAACACACAAAUGACUGUGCAAAUACUGAUGCACUCUUAAUAAGGUAUGGAGCUCAGUUAAUGGUACCCCAUGUAAAUUUCUUGUCUUUGUUUUGUUUUUCAGCAAUGGGGAGUGAACCAAGAGCCUGGUAAUGUACAUGCUAGGCAAGCACUCUACCACUGAACUACAUCUUUAGCCUUUUUUUUUUUUUUUUAAAUGAUUCGGGCAGGGUCUUGUGAAGUUGCCCAGGCUAGUCUUAUGCCACCAGUCUUCUGAAGAGCUGGGGUACCACUCAUGCACCCCCAAUCCCCAGCUUGACUUUCAUUUUUCAGGACUGUGCUGUAACUAGGAGAAUGUAGCAAAGCAUACACAAGCCAGCUCUAAUGGUCCUGUUACUUCCUGAGAGUCUCAUUAUUCUAAAAUAAAAGGUUAAACAAGCCACUUGAUGCCAGUAUAAAAAGAACAAUUUUAGUUUAAAGCACAGGAUAUGAGGAGAUAGUGCAGAUUCCUGUGCUAUAAAAGGGUCUUACAGUCAAACAAGCUUACCAAUUGCAUUUUCUCUGGCUUCUUAAAAUUUGAUGUUAUGUAUCCUAAUGCCUUUGCCCGUUCUCGAUAAAGUCGAAUAGCUUGAUCCAUGGGAACUCUUAAUCGGAACCAGUAUUCUACUGUGCCAAAAUUUGGGAUGUCUCCUUUAGUUCCUACAUAUAAUCAAUGCAUGACCACUGUUAAAAUAGUCACAUAAAUGAGAAUAUAUGCGAGUAAAAUAUACCAAUGGUAUUAUAUAUUAAAGGCAUAAACUUUAUACAGAGUGAAAUAAUAUGACUUGCACAAAUGAUGUUUGCUUGGCAAAUGACAGAUGAAGUUACGUCUGGAGUAUGAGUUUCACUGCAUGUUAAAUAUUAAAGAGCCAUGUCAACCUA